rnacentral:lncRNA from 1 species
GUUCAGUAGGCUAUAACACAUGUGUACUCAUAAUUUAUCAGGAAGCAUUUCACAAUAUUGCAACACAGUAAGAAAACUAUGUGACAAAACAAUACAUAAAACACAGAGAGAAUAUAAAAUAGAUCGUUUUAGAAGUAAAUAUUACUUUAGUAAAUGUGGGGUCAAUCUAAAAAAAAAUGUAAAAAAAAAUGGUUAAAUAGGUUAGGGGAGAGUUGAUAUACAGCUGACACACUUAACCCCGCCACAAUCUAUAUGUAUGUGCAUUUCCCUAGUCAGAUGCCUGAAUUUCAGUGGUUGUCGUUUGUUGCUAACUUACAUAUUUGUUUUUUCAAUUUUUGGUACAUCAAUUAGACCUUUUGUUUCCUUGUUUGAAUUGUUUUACGUUGUAAUUGUUCGGGACCUUUCAUAGCUGACUAAGCGGUAUGGGGUUUUGCUGAAGCCCAUGCGGUGACCUAUUAAUGAAUCACUUGGUUUA